rnacentral:rRNA from 1 species
CAGCCGCCGCGGGAAUACGUAGGUGGCAAGCGUUGUCCGGAAUUAUUGGGCGUAAAGGGCUCGCAGGCGGUUUCUUAAGUCUGAUGUGAAAGCCCCCGGUUCAACCGGGGAGGGUCAUUGGAAACUGGGAAACUUGAGUGCAGAAGAGGAGAGUGGAAUUCCACGUGUAGCGGUGAAAUGCGUAGAGAUGUGGAGGAACACCAGUGGCGAAGGCGACUCUCUGGUCUGUAACUGACGCUGAGGAGCGAAAGCGUGGGGAGCGAACAGGAUUAGAUACCCGCGUAGUCCCUGUCUCUUAUAC